AGGUGUCUCGCAACAAUUAUAAUUUUCUGCAUUUUCGUUAAAUAUUCGAUCAACUUUUAACUUCCUUUAAAUCUUUUUACAGAUAGAUAUCUUCGACUCGAUACAAUUAUCUAAAAAAUAAUUGUAAUAAGGAAUUAAUAAAGUAAUAAUUAAGUUAUACUCUGUAACGAUAUUCUAAUAACGAGAUGCAAGGACAACGAGCGCGAAGAGUAUACGUAUCCAAAUUGGAUUCAGCAUUUUCUGCCAGAACUACUGAGAACUUCAUGUGAAAUGAAGAAAGGUAAAAAGCUGAAGAAGAAGGCAGCCCGUUCUGCUAGACGGACAAAAACAAAUAGUCGGAUAAAAGCGUUACAAAGAAGGAGAAAGAAAUGUGAAGAGGGCGUGACGAGAAGGGGUGGAACACGUUGGCCCCAUCUGAAUCAUCACUGCACGCGAAUGGCUUCAUUCAUACGCAAAUUUAAAAUAUGCGGGAUGAGGUGUGGUGGAAAAUCAUGUUCGACCAGGUAUACGAUCGAAAUGAUGGGCGACAGCGGCGCGGCUUGUUUAAUGGCACCUACGAAAAGGAAAGUGCUCACCCACGCAUCCUAUCUGACGGACAUUACAAUGGCAGGUUAUAAGUAUCGGUCUCGUGUUCCUUGCUAAUUAAACGUGAACGUGAACGGAUGUAAAACAUAAAACGUGGUAGAUAAGACCACAUAAUCUUUCGAAAUCGUGGUUUCAAACGAAAGCAUCUUGUGUGCGAGAUUAUUAAUUGCUACAGAGGAUGGUAAACAGAAGUUAAAUUUUCAUUGUAGGAAUCUAAAAAUUGAAGAAUUAGAAUAAACGUGUUAGUGACUACUAUCCACAAUGGGCUCCCAGCUCAGCAAUGCAAUUUAAUCGCCGACAUUUUCAUCGAUGAUGGCCAUCAAUCGUAAUUAACUUUGUAACUCUCUAUCUCCCUAACGCAUUAUCAAAAGAAUCGAUUGUGUUUUUAGCAGCUAUGUUCUGUAUGAAAUAAUUUGUAAUUAGUCACACUGA